GCCUUCAUUUAAAGCAACAGUUAAUUCAAUAAUUGAUGAAGAAAUAGGGAAAGCUUUGCAAGGGGUGAGAAUAGCAUAAGGCUGCAGUGUGGCAUAGCAGAGUAUUACAUAGUCUCUGCAGUGUUUUGAAAAGAUUUUUCCUUCCUCAAUCAAAUACACAGAAUUAUCUUCAUUUAUCAUUUUGUGAUUGACUUGAGCGUUUAUAUUUCUUUUUAUGCUAUUCAGAUUGAGAAUGCUGCUUCAGUUGAUGUUCUGCGAGAAUGUACCAUGAGACACAGCACAAUGUUACAGACAGCAGGUUGUCUGAGACAUGUGGCUACUGUUGAAGCAAAGAAAGAAAUUGUGUCUGACUACCUCCACUAGUAUAUUAUUGACCGCAACUCAUCUGUAAUUGAUAGAUUCAAAGAUGGUCUUUCAGCCCUUCAGUUUCUCACUGCACUACAGCAACACCCUGCUUUGCUGUCCCCUGUCCUGACCCACUCAGAAAAGGGGCUAACUGCUCUUGAACUUGAGAGACUCUUCAAACCUGACCUCAGUCCACCAGGGAGUAACAGUAGACUUAAAGAAAGUGAAACUUUGGGCUACUGGGCAGACUAUCUCCUUGACUGUGAAGAAGGUCAGGCUGCUGUAUCUGUGGAAGACGUUUUCAUGUUUGCAACUGGACUGACUUCACUUCCCCCAUCUGGAAAUUGGAACCAUCACCAAGAGUUCCUGGAUGACUCUCCAUUCCCAAUGGCAAAAACAUGUUCAAACACAUUGAAAUUAGACACUUACACUGUGUUUAAGACACAAAUGGACUUUGGACUUCAAAAUUCCCCAGGAUUUGGAUGUUUUUAAGCCACGAGAUGACCCCUAGGGACUCUGAAAAGGUUGUUAUUAAAGGUUAAGAAUCUUUAAAAUGUAAAGAUAUGUGAGUAUGUUUUUUCUCACAGUUAACAUUUUGGCCAUUCUAUUUUAGACAAAAAAAAAGGGAGUUAAAGGAAGAAGGCCAAGAAGUUUUGUUUUCUGUUCUUACAAAAAUGCAAUAAAUAUGCAUUACUUUACUAGUACU